ensembl:lncRNA
AUGAUGGCGGUAGUGGUAGUAGUGGUAGUGGUAGUAGUGGUAAUGAUGAUGAUGGUGGUGGUAGUAGUGGCAAUGAUGGUGGUGGUGGUGGUAGUAGGGGUAAUGAUGAUGGUGGUGGUAGUAGUGGUAAUGAUGAUAAUGGUCGUGGUAGUAGUGGUAAUGAUGGCGGUGGUGGUGGUAGUAGUAGUGGUAAUGAUGGUGGUGGUGGUGGUAGUAGUGGCAAUGAUGGUGGUGGUAGUAGUAGUGGUAAUGAUGGUGGUGGUGGCAGUGGUAAUGAUGAUGAUGGUGGUAGUAGUGGUAAUGAUGAUAAUGGUGGUAGUAGUGGUAAUGAUGGUGGUGGUGGUACUAGUGGUAAUGAUGAUGAUGGUGGUAGUAGUGGUAAUGAUGAUGGUGGUAGUAGUAGUGGUAAUGGCGAUGGCGGUGGUAGUGGUAAUGAUGACAGUGGUAGUAGUGGUAAUGAUGAUGGUGGUGGUAGUAGUGGUAAUGAUGGUGGUGGUGGUAUUAGUGGUAAUAAUGAUGCUGGUGGUAGUAGUGCUAAUGAUGGUGGUGUAGUAGUGGUAAUGAUGGUGGUGGUGGUGGUAGUAGUGGUAAUGAUGAUGGUGGUAGUAGUAGUGGUAAUGAUGGUGGUGGUGGCAGUGGUAAUGAUGAUGAUGGUGGUAGUAGUGGUAAUGAUGAAAAUGGUGGUAGUAGUGGUAAUAAUGGUGGUGGUGAUGGUAGUAGGAGUGGUAAUGAUGAUGGUGGUGGUGGUAGUAGUGGUAAUGAUGGUGGUGGUGGUAGUACUGGUAAUGAAGAUGGUGGUAGUAGUGGUAAUGAUGACGGUGGUAGUAGUGCUAAUGAUGAUGGUGGUAGUGGUAGUAGUGGUAGUGGUAGUAGUGGUAAUGAUGAUGAUGGUGGUGGUAGUAGUGGCAAUGAUGGUGGUGGUGGUGGUAGUAGGGGUAAUGAUGAUGGUGGUGGUAGUAGUGGUAAUGAUGAUAAUGGUCGUGGUAGUAGUGGUAAUGAUGGUGGUGGUGGUGGUAGUAGUAGUGGUAAUGAUGGUGGUGGUGGUGGUAGUAGUGGUAAUGAUGAUGGUGGUAGUAGUAGUGGUAAUGAUGGUGGUGGUGGCAGUGGUAAUGAUGAUGAUGGUGGUAGUAGUGGUAAUGAUGAUGGUGGUGGUAGUAGUGGUAAUGAUGGUGGUGGUGGUAUUAGUGGUAAUAAUGAUGAUGGUGGUAGUAGUGGUAAUGAUGGUGGUGGUAGUAGUAGUGGUAAUGAUGAUGACGGUGGUAGUAGUGGUAAUGAUGGUGGUGGUGGUAGUGGUAAUGAUGACGGUGGUAGUAGUAGUGGUAAUGAUGAUGAUGGUGGUAGUAGUGGUAAUGAUGCUGUUGGUAGUAGUGGUAAUGAUGCUGUUGGUAGUAGUGGUAAUGAUGGUGGUGGUAGUAGUGGUAAUGAUGGCGGUGGUAGUAGUAGUGGUAAUGAUGGUGGUGGUGGUGGUAGUAGUGGGAAUGAUGAAGGGGGUGGUGCUGGUAGUAGUGGUAAUGAUGAUGAUGAUGGUGGUGGUAGUAGUGGUAAUGAUGGUGGUGGUGUUGGUAGUAGUGGCAAUGAUGAUGAUGGUGGUAGUAGUAGUGGUAAUGAUGAUGGUGGUGGUAGUAGUGGUAAUGAUGUUAAUGGUGGUGGUAGUAGUGGUAAUGAUGGUGGCGGUGGUGGUAGUAGUAGUGGUAAUGACGGUGGUGGUGAUGGUGGUGGUGGUGGUGGUAAUGAUGAUGAUGAUGGUGGUAGUAGUAGUGGUAAUAAUGGUGGUGGUGGUAGUAGUGGUAAUGAUGAUGGUGGUAGUAGUGGUAAUGAUGACGGUGGUGGUGGUAGUGGUAAUGAUGACGGUGGUAGUAGUAGUGGUAAUGAUGAUGAUAGUGGUAGUAGUGGUAAUGAUGCUGUUGGUAGUAGUGGUAAUGAUGGUGGUGGUAGUAGUGGUAAUGAUGACGGUGGUAGUAGUAGUGGUAAUGAUGGUGGUGGUGGUGGUAGUAGUGGUAAUGAU